rnacentral:rRNA from 1 species
AGUGAACGCUGGCGGUAGGCCUAACACAUGCAAGUCGAACGGCAGCACAGUAAGAGCUUGCUCUUACGGGUGGCGAGUGGCGGACGGGUGAGGAAUACAUCGGAAUCUACUUUUUCGUGGGGGAUAACGUAGGGAAACUUACGCUAAUACCGCAUACGACCUACGGGUGAAAGCAGGGGAUCUUCGGACCUUGCGCGAUUGAAUGAGCCGAUGUCGGAUUAGCUAGUUGGCGGGGUAGAGGCCCACCAAGGCGACGAUCCGUAGCUGGUCUGAGAGGAUGACCGGACACAUGGGGCCUAAGAGAGGGCCCAGACGGCGACGGGAGGCAGCGGUGGGGAAUAUGGCACAAUGGGCGGAAGCGUGAUGAAGCAACGCCGCGUGCGGGAUGACGGCCUGCGGGUUGAAAACCGCUGUAGCCUGGGACGAAGCGGGCGUGACGGUACCGUAUAAAGAAGCACCGGCUAACUACGUG